rnacentral:rRNA from 1 species
UGCAGUCGAACGGUAGCAGGAAGUGCUUGCACUUUGCUGACGAGUGGCGGACGGGUGAGUAAUACUUAGGAACAUGCCUUUGUGUGGGGGAUAACCAUUGGAAACGAUGGCUAAUACCGCAUAAUGUCUUUGGACCAAAGAGGGCUUUCGGGCUCUCGCGCAAAGAGUGGCCUAAGUGAGAUUAGCUUGUUGGUGAGGUAAAGGCUCACCAAGGCGACGAUCUCUAGCUGUUCUGAGAGGAAGAUCAGCCACACUGGGACUGAGACACGGCCCAGACUCCUACGGGAGGCAGCAGUGGGGAAUAUUGCACAAUGGGGGCAACCCUGAUGCAGCCAUGCCGCGUGUGUGAAGAAGGCCUUCGGGUUGUAAAGCACUUUCAGUUGUGAGGAAAGGUUGGUGGUUAAUACCCAUCAGCUGUGACGUUAGCAACAGAAGAAGCACCGGCUAACUCCGUGCCAGCAGCCGCGGUAAUACGGAGGGUGCGAGCGUUAAUCGGAAUUACUGGGCGUAAAGCGCACGCAGGCGGUUAUAUAAGCUAGAUGUGAAAGCCCCGGGCUCAACCUGGGAAUAGCAUUUAGAACUGUAUGACUAGAGUCUUGGAGAGGGGGGUGGAAUUCCAGGUGUAGCGG